rnacentral:rRNA from 1 species
UACGUAGGGUGCAAGCGUUGUCCGGAAUUAUUGGGCGUAAAGAGCGUGUAGGCGGCCAGGUAGGUCUGCUGUGAAAACUCGAGGCUCAACCUCGAGACGUCGGCGGAAACCAUCUGGCUAGAGUCCGGAAGAGGAGAGUGGAAUUCCUGGUGUAGCGGUGAAAUGCGCAGAUAUCAGGAAGAACACCCGUGGCUAAGGCGGCUCUCUAGUACGGUACUGACGCUGAGACGCGAAAGCGUGGGGAGCGAAGCAGG